CUAGCGACUUCAGAGUUUGAUCCUGGCUCAGGAUGAACGCUGGCGGCGUGCUUAACACAUGCAAGUCGAACGAAGCACUUUGAAACAAUCCUUCGGGUGCGUUUCUUAGUGACUUAGUGGCGGACGGGUGAGUAACGCGUGGGUAACCUGCCUCAUGCAGGGGGAUAACAGUUAGAAAUGACUGCUAAUACCGCAUAAGCGCACAGUACCGCAUGGUACAGUGUGAAAAGAUUUAUCAGCAUGAGAUGGACCCGCGUCUGAUUAGCUAGUUGGUGAGGUAACGGCUCACCAAGGCGACGAUCAGUAGCCGACUCGAGAGAGUGAUCGGCCACAUUGGGACUGAGACACGGCCCAA
rnacentral:rRNA from 1 species